rnacentral:rRNA from 1 species
GACGAACGCUGGCGGCGUGCCUAACACAUGCAAGUCGAACGGAAAGGCCCUGCUUUUGUGGGGUGCUCGAGUUGCGACCGGGUGAGUAACACGUGAGUAACCUGUCCUUGACUUUGGGAUAACUUCAGGAAACUGGGGCUAAUACCGGAUAGGAGCUCCUGCUGCAUGGUGGGGGCUGGAAAGAUUCGGCGGUUGGGGAUGGACUCGCGGCUUAUGAGCUUGUUGCAGGGGUUGUGGCUUAGCAUGGCUUUGACGGGUAGCCGGCCUGGGAGGGUGACCGGCCACAUUGGGACUGAGAUACGGCCCAGACUCCUACGGGAGGCAGCGGUGGGGAAGAGUGCACAAGGGGAGGAAGCCUGAUCCAGCAACGCCGCGUGCGGGAUGACGGCCUGCGGGUUGUGAUCCGAAGUCGCCUGUGACGAAGCGUGAGUGACGGUAAUGGGUAAAGAAGCACCGGCUAACUACGUG